UGCAGCUGUGUCAAAUUCGGUGCCUGCCCCACCCAUGGCAGACAUGGGCCCAAAAGGCUGCUACAAUAACACUGUGACUCAUGGGCCCUGAUCCCCUCUCCUGGGCCUCAGGGAUAAAUUUGGUUACAGACACCA